rnacentral:snoRNA from 1 species
CACCUCUCAGGGUCGUAUCUGGAGAAUUUCCAGUACUCUACCAGUCUCCACUAAGGGAGGGAUAGUCAAGCAGAGGCAUAUCCAUUCUAUUCCUAGCUCGGCCAGUGGCUAGCCAGUGGAAAACAAUCUGCUACAAGU